GUCUUUUCUAUUGAUUUAUUUGCCUAUCCUUAUACCAACAUCACGCUAUCUUGAUUAUUGAAGUUUUAUAAUGAGUCUUAAAAUCAGGUAGUCAAAAGGCUUCCAACUUUGUUUUUCAUUUUCAAAAUUGUUUUGGCUAUUUUAGAUGACUUGCAUGUCCAUAUAAAUUUUAGAACUAGUUUGUCUGUUUCUUCAAAAGAGGUUGCUUAUAUGUGAUACAGAUUAUGUUAAAUCUAUACAUUAAUUGAGGGAGGAUGGAAAUUUUAAACAAUAUUGAGUUUCCAAUUUAUGAGCAUAGUGUAUCUCUCCAUUUAGGAAUAUUUUAAUUUUGCAAAGCAACAUUUUAUAAUUUUCAGUUUAUAGAUCUCACAUACCUUUCAUUAGAUUUAUUCCUGGGUAUUUUAUUUUGGCUAGUGUUUUGAUGCUGUUGUCAAUGGUAUUUGUUUUUGGAAUAUCAUUUUCCAAUUCUUCCUAGAACGUUGAAAUGGAAUGUGUUUUUAUACAUUGAUGUAUGUCCUGAAACUUUGCUAAAUACAUUUAUUCUAAUAAUUGUUUAAUAGACUCUAUAUGGUUUCUAAAUCAGCUUGGGACAUAAUUGGCAUACCAUUUAAUUCAUCCACUUAAAGUGUAGUCUUAUUAUAUUCCCAGAGCUGUAUGACUAUCUCCACAAUCCAGUUUUAGAACAUUUUCAUCACCUCUACCGAAAGAAACCCUGUGUGAUGAGGAGCAAUUACAUCUCAUCCUCCUCUCAUCCCCACCUCACGGACCUGGACAAUCACCAAUCUACUCUUUGUCUCUAUGGAUUUCUCUAUUCUGAACAUUUCAUUGCUAAAUAAUAUUAAUAGUAUUUUACUAUCUGGGUAUAUCACAUUUUAUUUACCCAUUCACCUACUGAAGAACAUCUCGGCUGCUUCCAAGUUUUUGCAAUUAUGAAUAAGGUGCUAUAAACACACCAUGUGCAGGUUUUGGUGUGGACAUCUUUCCAACUUCUUAAAGUAAGUAUCAUGGUACGUGAUUGCUGGAUCAUAUGGUUUGAGUAUGUUUAGUUGUGUAAGAAACUGCUAAACUGUCUUACAAAGUAGCUGUAUCAUUUUGCUUUCCCACCAGCAAUGGAUGAGAGUUUCUGUUGCUCCACAUCCUCACCAGCAUUUGGUGUUUUCAGUGUUUUGAAUUUUGGCCAUUCUAAUAGGUG
rnacentral:lncRNA from 13 species